UUGGGCCUACGGGAGGCAGCAGUAGGGAAUCUUCGGCAAUGGGGGCAACCCUGACCGAGCAACGCCGCGUGAGUGAAGAAGGUUUUCGGAUCGUAAAGCUCUGUUGUAAGAGAAGAACGUGUGUGAGAGUGGAAAGUUCACACAGUGACGGAAACUUACCAGAAAGGGACGGCUAACUACGUGCCAGCAGCCGCGGUAAUACGUAGGUCCCGAGCGUUAUCCGGAUUUAUUGGGCGUAAAGCGAACGCAGGCGGUUGGGUAAGUUUGAAUGU
rnacentral:rRNA from 1 species